AAGGGAUCACGGCGCCUCCUCGCUCACAACGCGUCCUUUAUACCCCGAAAAAAAACUUCUGUACCUUUAAUAUGAUUAAUUCUUUAGGAUUUUUCUCUAAUUGACUCGGACGUUGCUGAGCGGGACUGCGUGAUCUCCGUCGCUUUGUUUUUUCUAGAACUGCCUGGACGCUUGGGUUGAUUUAAGUGCCUGGAAUUGGUCUUUUUCCAAAACAACCGAUUGCUAAUAGACCCCCUCCCUCUAAAACGGUCCAUCUAAAGCAGUAAAGCCAAACCGAAACCGGCUGCUUCAUCCCUCAAAUAAAUAAAUACAUAUUUUGCCCACAAAAAUCAUCAGAUGAGUGUCUGGAUCUAGAUAAAAGUGUGUCCGAAAUUAUUUGCAUCGUGAAGGGUUCGAGUCUCCGCUGGACACAGGAAGUUGUGAAUCUUGGCGGAACCGAGUUGGAAACUACUGAGUGAGAUGAAUCUCUUUUUUUCUCUGGCAGGUGAACUGAAGGAGGGCUCGUCUCCUCCUCACCUGAUCUAUUUGCCUAUUGAAGAGAAUCAUUCAUUUCAUCGACCGUCAUCUGUUUGCUCGACCGAUAGUGUAAACUGAUAAAAGAUAGUCUUUUGCGAGAGCGAGAGGCUGAUAUAAAUAUUCAGAAACCAGGGAAGUACUUUCGAUUUGCAAUUUAACUUUCGCCCAGUCUUAUGGUUAACUUUAUGGGCCUAUCGAUAUCGCCGAGCUGACGGAAAGUGCGGUGGAAUGCGAUCCGCGCCUUUUAAACCCCCGAGCGAGUAAUACCCUGCCCUGCGCAACUUCGCCCCUUUGCUCCGGUUGCAUUUCCUAUGGUUUGCAGCUGUAAGCACACAAGAAGAUGCAACCUGACAACUUAUCGUGAGUAGCUUUAUUGGAAUCCCAUUAGGAGCAAAGCUAAGUAAAAAGCUUCAGGUUUGACAUAUAACUCCAAGACAGUAAAGAUUUUCUUACAAGUGACUGGAGGAGUCUCGGGAUGGUGGAAUGAUUUGGGGGUAUCAAGAGGUGAGUCACAUGUCACAGAGUACCCUGUUUCCAAUCUACUCUGGUACUUGUUACAUUUAAGUGACUUCGUCCAGUUGCAUUUCUUGGAAAUUACGACCCAAAAGGAAUGGGAGACUCUAUGACAGUAAAGUCAUUAAAGGUCAAGGUUAACCUUGUUAGACCUUCUUUUGUAAGACAUGGUCAAUAUCUGACUCUCUUGCACCAUGAAUAUAACUGGACAAUGCUGGAGAACCAAUGCCUGAAUAUUUUCUAGUUCUAAAUGCAAACAGGCAUAAAUAUCUGCUAAAUAGUAGUCAGUACAAUUGACAAAUAUUGCAAUUAUGCAAUAUCAGCAAACCAUCCCACUUUUCAUCUUAUGAUGCAAAGAAGGUCCCGAUGAUAUGCUGGACCAGGAGAAUACAAAUUGCGCUGGUGUAUAUCUCUGCUGCUACUGAUGGUCCACGGUGCUGUUGUGGUGAUAGGAAAGAAUGUAACCAGGGAUUUGGAUGGAGGAGACUGACAUAUUGUGCGUCAGGUAAGAUUCAGCCUGUUCCUUAAUGGGCUGUGGGACACCUCUCACAAUUUAGACCUCAGGGCUUUGCAAGACCAGCUGGGCUUGAAGUGACUUUGUCAUGCCCAUCCAGUUUUAUUAUUUCUCUUUUCAAUUAGAAGCUGAUUGCUUGUUGGGCCAUGGGCCAUUUAAGACUCAAUCACACGGGAGAUAUCUGAAAUUACACAUAAGCCUGUCUUGGUAGGGAUAGCAGUUUUCCUCCUCAUCUUCAUUAACCUAUGACAAUCCGGUAGUGUUUUGUGGCCAUCAUUAUUAAUACCAGUUAUUGUUGCAGCAAAUUCCUGAUUAUUAACUGAAUUUAAAUCUCACAGUGACUAUAAUGUGAUUUGGACACAGGUCUUUGAACUGCUAGCUUUGAUACUCAACUACAACACCACUGCUAUGGGCUAAAAAGGAAAUAUUAUAUAAAUAUCAAAUAUAAGAAUCUUAAUAUAAUCCUAAGAGGAUAAUUUGAAAUUGGAAAGGGCUUUUGAGAUUAGUUACACUGUACUGGACAGAUCAGCUUAUGUUCACCUUUUUUUUUGGUUAAUGACCCCAGGUCCCACUCAAUUAUUCCGUAUCAAAUUUCUACUGUGUAUGUCCCAUUCAGAACAUCACUUUAUGCUACCAAUUUUACCUCUUCAAAUUAGCACUGUCAAUUCAAUCUGACUGGGACUGUAAUCAUGUUAUGAGUUACCACCAUGAAGUGGCCAGCUCUGUGUGUGCAUGCCAAUGUAGAAGAUCAAAACCAAAGCAAAAAAAAAGUACUUUUGUACUAAAGAGGAAAUCUAUUCAUGGCCAAUCAGAAAUGAAUGCUGAGAUCCCUUCCCAUUGACAGCCUGAAGAAUUUACCCCAAUUUGUUUGCUUUUCUGAAACUUCAUCCUAGAGCACCUGGAAACUUGCUGAUUAACCAUACUUAUUAUCUAUGUAACUCUUUGUUACUCUCUUUGUAAUGCUUAUGGAGACAAAAAUCACCGAGAGCCCUGUCAGUUGCAAUCACACUAUCAUGCCCCUGGAGCUUUGUCUCACAUUUUAGUAUCAAUUUGAUUAGCGGGCGAUUGGAAGAAUGCUGCUGAUAACGGUGACAUGAUGCUCCAACACCUGUACUCAGUACCCUGACCAUUGAAGGAAAAAACUUGCCAAAUGCCUUGGAGGAACAAGAGAUUGUGCAUGCUGGAAUUUGGAGUAAAAAACAAUGUGCUGGAGGACUCAAUACAUCAAGAAGCAUUUGAUCAACCUGCUGAGCUCCUCCAACCGAUCGUUUGAAUGUUAAAUGGCUUUUUCACCACCAUGGCCAGUGGUAACACCAUUUUCAAAGAAACGUGUACUUGCAGCCCUACAUAUGUCUAUUCUGCAACAUCCUCAAGGGCAAUACCAUUUACUAUCACAGUCCUGCUCUGGUUUGUCGUACCAAAGCACAGCACUUCACAUUUAUCUGAAUUAAACUUCAUUUGCCAUUUUUGGCCUACUGGCCCACCUGAUCAAAAUCCCAUUGAAAACUUCGAUGGCCUUCUUGUCUGUCCACUAUACACCAACGUUAGUGUUAUCUGGAAUCUAACUAGCCAUGGCACCUGCAUCCUUAUCCAAAUCUUUAAUGUAAACUGCAAACAACAAUGGUGACACAAGAGAAACUGUAGAUGCUGGAACUCCAGAGUAACACAAGUAAAAUACAGGAGGAACUCAGCAGGCCAGGCAGCAGCUCUGGAGGGAAAUGAGCAGUUUACUUUUCAAGGCAAGAAGGGUCUCAGCCCGAGCAACACACUGGCCACAGUUCUCCAAUCUGAAAAUCAGUGCUUUACCAUCAUCCUCUGUCUCCUAACAGCCAAUUUUGAAUCCAAUUGACUAGUUUGCCCUUGGAUCUCAUAUAAUCAAACCUUCUUUACCAGUCUACCAUGUGGUACCUUGAUAAUGGCCUUGCUGUCAUUCAUGUGGACAGCAUCUACUAUUCUGCCUUUUUACAUCUUGUUUGUUAUUUCAAAAAUCUCAAUCAAAUUUGUGAAACAUGAUUUCCUGUGCCCAGAGUCAUGCUGAUGAUCUCUAAUUACCCCGUGCCUCUGCAAAUACAUGUAACUCCUUUCUCUCAGAAUCUUUUCCAAUAGUUUGGCCACCAGUGAAGUUAGGCUCACUGGACUAUAGUUUCAAGGCUUUUCCUUGCAGUGCUUCUUCAAUGAAGGCACAACCUAGGCCUUCUGCAUUCUUUUGGCACCUUAUCUAGAAACAUAGAAACAUAGAAAAUAGGUGCAGGAGUAGGCCAUUCAGCCCUUCGAGCCUGCACCGCCAUUCAGUAUGAUCAUGGCUGAUCAUCCAACUCAGAACCUAUACCUGCCUUCUCUCCAUGCCCCCUGAUCCCUUUAGCCACAAGGGCCAUAUCUAACUCCCUCUUAAAUAUAGCCAAUGAACUGGCCUCAACUGUUUCCUGUGGCAGAGAAUUCCACGGAUUCAGCACUCUCUGUGUGAAGAAGUUUUUCCUCAUCUCGGUCCUAAAAGGCUUCCCCUUUAUCCUCAAACUGUGACCCCUCGUUCUGGACUUCCCCAACAUUAGGAAUAAUCUUCCUGCAUCUAGCCUGUCCAAUCCCUUUAGAAUUUUAUACGUUUCAAUCAGAUCCCCCCUCAAUCUUCUAAAUUCCAGAGAGUAUAAGCCUAGUCGAUCCAGUCUUUCAUCAUAUGAAAGUCCUGCCAGCCCAGGAAUCAAUCUGGUGAAAUUUCUUUGUAAUCCCUCUAUGGCAAAGAUGUCUUUCCUCAGAUUAGGGGACCAAAACUGCACACAAUACUCCAGGUGUGGCCUCACCAAGGCCUUGUACAACUGCAGUAGUACCUCCCUGCUCCUGUACUCGAAUCCUCUUGCUAUGAAUGCCAGAAUGCCAUUUGCCUUUUUCACUGCCUGCCGUACCUGCAUGCCCACUUUCAAUGACUGGUGUAUAAUGACACCCAGGUCUCGUUACACCUCCCCUUUUCCUAAUCGGCCACCAUUCAGAUAAUAAUCUGUUUUGCUGUUCUUAUAAUCUGUUUUGCUGUUCUUGUAUCUGUGACUAUUGAUGAUACAAAUAUCUCUGCUAGGGACCCCACAAUUUCCUUCUUAGCUUCCUAUAAUAUCCUAUCAGAUUCUGUUUCUUUAUAUAUUACUUUAUGCAUUUUAAGACCUCCACAACUUUCUCUUCUGCAAUGUGGAUGCUCUUCAAGAUAUCACCAUUAACUGUGGAGACACAACUGUUUAAGAUGGAAAAUUCUAGGCUUUAGACUCUGAAUACUUGAAGACACAACAAACAAUGGUUUGAGGGAAGCAUGGAAAUGGCAGAAUUAGAAGAAGUUCUCUAAAAGAGCAUGUAGAGAGGGAAGAAGAGUCAUCUAAGUUUAAGGGCAAAGGAAUGGAGAAACUUAAAAUAAAUAAAAUUCCAACAUGCCAUGGUAUCGAAGGAUACAGUUCAAGGCCUAGAAAAUUAACAUUGUAGUCCAGAGGGCGUGUUGCUCUGCUGUGUGACUCUAUGACAACAAUCAAAGUGGCUUUGGAUUCUUUAAGUACAGUACAAUGCUUGAGAACUGAUGCCGCAUUAAUUUAACUAAAAUUAGCUGAUGUGUUGUUAUUUUCGUUAUUAGUAUUUUUAGAAUUGUUAAAUCUGACAACACUCUGUCAUAGAGACUAAUCAUAAUAAUACACUUCACGUUUUUUCUACCUCAACUUUAGGUACUGAAGAUAUAAAUAUUAUUUAUUCCAUCCUCUGCUUCUUUUACUGAAUAGAUAUUUGUGUAACAUGAUAACAACUAAUGUAUGAAAGAGAGACAUUGACCCAAAGAGCUGCAGCAAAGAAAUAUAUAAACAUUUAAUAUGGUGAUCUAAAAAUCACUUAAAAGGCUAGUUCACAAAUGCACUUGUUACUGAAAAUUCAAUGUAUGCCUCAUCUGGAUUUUCUAAGUUCUUGUAAAAUGUGUAAAUGAGUUAUAAUAUGAUGUUUUUUGAGACAUAAAAGAUGUGAGUUUACAUUGUAUUGCAUGAUACACAUAAAUGACACUUCUUUCAUAAUUACACUCUACUCUUGAUAAUGUAAACUUUUAAGUAUUUAUUUAUUGAGAUAUUGCACAGAAUAGGCCCUUCUGGGCCUUCAAGCUGCACUGCCCAGCAAUUCUCCAAUUUAAUCCUAACCUAAUCAUGAGACUAUUUACAAUGCCCAAUUAACCUACCAACCGGUACGAAAUUGGACAGUGGGAGGAAACCAGAUCACUUGAAGGAAACCCACACGUUGAUGGAGAGAACAUAUUAACUCCUUACAGGCAGCGGUGGGAAGUGUAAUUAAUUUUACAGGAUAUAACUUCCUUUAUUGAUUGUAAACCAGCAACACAAAGGGAAACAUUUAAAAGUCUGUUUUAAAUUACAGGUGUGCAUUAUAGAUAUCAGUAAGAUCUUAAAUUUUCCUCUGAUUGAAGACAGUUUAAAGCUUUGACAAAUGCAGCAUCACUGUAAUCUCAAAUUUGGAAUAUUUGAUUUAUUUCAAGAAUGCUACAAUGUAUUUCCCCAUAAUAUACAGUUACCUAAUUCCAGUUUCAAAUAUAAAUAUGCAGAAAUUAACUGCACAGAUUUCUUAGUUAGUUUGUGGUGAUAACCUUGACUCCUGAUCCUGAUAUUAUGUUGUUCGAUAUCAUUUGACAAAAUGUAAUGGUUUGAAUGCAUUAGGCUGUAAGAAAAACUGAACAAGAUGAGCAAAAAGAAAUGACAGUUUCAAACCAACAUAAGUUAUAAUGUGUGUAUUUUUUUUUGUUCAAAGAUUUCAAGCACUUCCAAAUCUGCAUUGAUUUCUCAAUCAGAAGAAAGAGUGUAUUUAAAUUUUCUGCUUGGUUUCCAGUGAUAUUUCACAGUGACAAUCAUUAAAAGGUGUUGCUGAUAACAGAUCAUACAGUGCUCAAGUGGAGAGAUCUAUGCAAUGUAGUGCUAAGUGGUGCUUUUACUCACCUUUAUCACUGCUAGCCAUAUUAAAAAUUGAAUUAGAUACAAGUAAUAGUUCAGUCUACAUGCAAGGGAACCAUUAUCACCCAUUCAUACACUAUCAGCACAAUAAUUUUACCUGGUGGCGCUUUUUCAGUUGGAAGCACAGCAAACCUCACAAAUUAUUUCAGCAUGAACGUUCAGUGUGAAUAUACAUAUACACAUAUGGGGGCUAGAUAUGCUAUCGCACAAUAUAUGCACUCUCAUACACUCUCCUAUAGAACUUCUUCAGAAUACAGAUAACGUUUUUCUUCUGGGGCGCUGUGUGUUUGAAACGCUAUUGCAUUGAGGACGUAGCAUUCAGUGGUGUGAAAUCUGGAUGUUAAUUCUAUAAGCUUCACUGUGAGCAUGAUUAAUUUGGAGAGCAAAUGUGACACCUCUCAUGGGAUGUCCUAAAGAGGAUGAACUCUAAAGCAGUCCUAGCAGUCCAGCUCUGGAAACCAGUUUCAGGUAGGUGCAAUUAAGUACUAAUUUUACCUUUUGUGGUUAUUCAGUUAAUAUUCUCCACACCUAACUGUGACCAUGAAUAACCCCCAGCCUCACCCACCAUUCGGAGAUUGACCAUAUAUCCCCAGCAGUUGUUACCUAGCCAUUGGGAUUCAAUGGCUGCUGAUUCAAUGUCUGCUGAUCGAGGCUGUAACCCUUGAAUUCCAGCUGGACAUCACUCCCAUUUCUCAGCCAGUAACUUAUGAACUAAACCAGCCUAGUUUACUAUUACCACUCAGCAAUGGUGGAA